AUUGCUUUGUUCAUCAAGGUCUCCCAACAUAAAAAAAUCCUCUGCUAAGGGGGCCAGGAAGAGGCCAUGUCAUGAUUGACCUGGAAACAAUCAGCAAUAGUUACUUCUCUCCAGCCAGGCACAUCCCGUUGCGCAAUAGGUAUGAUCUUGAUGAACAGAAGCAAAAUGACAGAAGCUAUUAAGGGACUGCAACACUACUACAAAUUUGAGAAGGUUCUGUAUCAGAUAUGGAGAAACUUCUAAUGGCCUGGAUUGUAGACCAACAUAUCCUCUUCAGCACCAUGAAGAUCACGGCCAAAGCAAAGAGUUUGUGAUAUUGAAAGAAAAGGCUGGACCUGCUGGGUACAGUGGCUCAUGCCUGUAAUCCCAGCGAUUCAGGAGGCUGAGGCAGGAGGAUCACAAGUUUGAGACCAGUCUGGACCAUUUAGCAAGAUAUCAUCUCAAAAUAAAAAGGGCUGACUCUAGCACAUGCAAGGUCCUGAGUUCAAUCCCCAGCAUUGCAAACAAACACACAAAAAAGAUUCCAUCAUUUAUAAUGAUGUUAUUCAUGACAUCAUGUGAGAGUCAGUGGUGAGUUUGGGAGCACUGAUGCAAAGGGAGAUGAAGAUUAUUUGGAAACUUCAAAUGAGUUGAUUGUGGAGGGAAAUUAUUUGCCGGAACAUAUCCUCAAUAUGGAUGAAAACUCCCUAUUCAAGGCCUGAAGGACUUUCAUACAUUGGGAGGUCAAGUCAACGCCAGGUUUCCAGACUUUUAAGGGCAGAACUAUAGUCUUGCUUGGGAGCAAAGUCGCAGGCUAUAAAUUGAAACCUUUGUGAACUGCCAAGUGAGAGCCCAGGGCCUGCAAGAACACCACUAAGUACACGCUGCCAGUGCAUGACAGAAGCAGCAGGAAGUCAGGAUUGCCAGUUGCCACACACCUG
rnacentral:lncRNA from 1 species